UGACAAUAUGUCCAGAUUUUACCUUCCAAAAGCCUAUUGUCUGCCUAAAUGCAAACAAAUGACUAAUGGAGAAAUUUAGAGAAUUUAGCAGGGAAAGCAUUUUCGCUGCACGGAGGCCAGAUUAAGACACAGUAGACUCCUAUUUGUGAAUUACUAACAUAAGCAUUGAAUUUUCCAGGUGCUUUCAAUAAGGAUUUGUUCAUUCACUCUUUCCUACAAUGAGUGCUUCCUUCUACUUACAGGCUUGCAAAAUGCUGCAAUGUGAUAAUGAAUAAGAAUGAAUGACUUCUAAAAUUAUUCAGUAAGUCCUGAAUUCCUGCUUUCAGUAACUUCAACUAUUUCAUAUGGCUUUUACCUGAAACAAGGUAGGCUUCGCCCUUCCCACUGCAGGGAGACUGUACUGUCCAGCCAUCUUUGGAAUUACAUAGCGUCAUGUUCUGAGUUCUGGCCACUGGAAGAGAAUAUGUGCACCACAGCCUGGACUGGCCCAUUUCAUAUCUCUUCUCCCCAUUGAACAUACAGAAGAGAAGGAUUUUAAAACACAAAGAGUGGCAAAAACUACAAGAUGAAAGGAGUUUGGAUCCUGAAAACAUGAGGUGGAAGACAGGCUACUGAACACUGGUGAGAUGAAAUGGACUUCUAUUGAAUUAAGUCAUUAAGAUUUUAAGAUGUCACUGUUUUGGAAGUUUGUUUCACCUAAUAAAACUAUGUUUUGAAUCCUAG
rnacentral:lncRNA from 10 species